UACGUAGGGGGCAAGCGUUGUCCGGAUUCAUUGGGCGUAAAGAGCGUGUAGGCGGCCAGGUAGGUCGGUUGUGAAAACUGGAGGCUCAACCUUCAGACGUCGACCCAAACCCCCUGGCUAGAGUCCGGAAGAGGAGAGUGGAAUUCCUGGUGUAGCGGUGAAAUGCGCAGAUAUCAGGAGGAACACCGAUGGCGAAGGCAGGUCUCUGGGCCGCAACUGACGCUGAGGAGCGAAAGCAUGGGGAGCGAACAGG
rnacentral:rRNA from 1 species